rnacentral:rRNA from 1 species
GGAUAACCUGCCCUUGGGUCCGGCAUAACCCCGGGAAACUGGGGAUAAUUCCGGAUAACGCACAUAUGCUGGAAUGCUUUAUGCGUAAAAUGGAUUCGUCUGCCCAAGGAUGGGUCUGCGGCCUAUCAGGUAGUAGUGGGUGUAAUGUACCUACUAGCCAACAACGGGUACGGGUUGUGAGAGCAAGAGCCCGGAGAUGGAUUCUGAGACAUGAAUCCAGGCCCUACGGGGCGCAGCAGGCGCGAAAACUUUACAAUGCGGGAAACCGUGAUAAGGGGACACCGAGUGCCAGCAUCAUAUGCUGGCUGUCCGGGUGUGUAAAAUACACCUGUUAGCAAGGGCCGGGCAAGACCGGUGCCAGCCGCCGCGGUAACACCGGCGGCCCGAGUGGUGAUCGUGAUUAUUGGGUCUAAAGGGUCCGUAGCCGGUUUGGUCAGUCCUCCGGGAAAUCUGACGGCUCAACCGUUAGGCUUUCGGGGGAUACUGCCAGGCUUGGAACCGGGAGAGGUAAGAGGUACUACAGGGGUAGGAGUGAAAUCUUGUAAUCCCUGUGAGACCACCUGUGGCGAAGGCGUCUUACCAGAACGGGUUCGACGGUGAGGGACGAAAGCUGGGGGCACGAACCGGAUUAGAUACCCGGGUAGUCCCAGCCGUAAACGAUGCUCGCUAGGUGUCAGGCAUGGCGCGACCGUGUCUGG